rnacentral:rRNA from 1 species
CCAAUCUAAAUUAGCACUUUGACGAGCCUGAUCCUGUCUGAUCUUGGAAGCUAAGCAGGGUUGGGCCUGGUUAGUACUUGGAUGGGAGACCACCUAGGAAGACCAGGCAUGAAAAUAAA